rnacentral:rRNA from 1 species
CCUACGGGAGGCAGCAGUGAGGAAUAUUGGUCAAUGGGCUUACGCCUGAACCAGCCAAGUCGCGUGAGGGAAUAAUGCCCUAUGGGUUGUAAACCUCUUUUGUCAGGGAGCAACGCCGGCUACGUGUAGCCGGACUGAGAGUACCUGAAGAAAAAGCAUCGGCUAACUCCGUGCCAGCAGCCGCGGUAAUACGGAGGAUGCGAGCGUUAUCCGGAUUUAUUGGGUUUAAAGGGUGCGUAGGCGGAAUGCCAAGUCAGCGGUAAAAUCGCGGGGCUCAACCUCGCUCCGCCGUUGAAACUGGGGUUCUUGAGUGGGCGAGAAGUAUGCGGAAUGCGUGGUGUAGCGGUGAAACGCAUAGAUAUCACGCAGAACCCCGAUUGCGAAGGCAGCAUACCGGCGCCCAACUGACGCUGAAGCACGAAAGCGUGGGUAUCGAACAGGAUUAGAUACCCUAGUAGUC